AUGCUGAACCUGCAGUUUGAAGAAACCCGCCAAAAGCAGACGCCGCGGAGCUGUGAGGGAAAACUCAGAGAGCACGGAUUGGUUUAUUUAUUGUGAUAGUUCUGAUGAUCAUUUCAGCCUGUUGGUAAACUUAAACCAGCUGAGACACCAACACUUUGUUCAUUUGCUUACUUCUUGUCACAUUUUUAGUUCAAAAGGUUGUUUUCAGGUCCAGGUCUGAACCGGACUCGGUACUCGGGCAUUUGCUGGUAUCACUUCUGUCUUGUCUCUGGUGGUCAGAGAUGUCGGAGGACAUUUCAGAAAAAGAAUGGCGGAAGAAUCUCAACAACGUGCUGAAGAACUUGGACAUGUCCCAGUACACAGAGACACUGGAACAUCUGGAUAGAAUCCCUAAAAGUGUGAAAGACAAAAAGUCCAGAGAGGAGAUGCCCAAAACAAUCAUUGAGUACUAUGGAUUGGAAGGCUCUAUCCUUGAAAUUGAACGUAUAAUGGAUCUGAUUCCAAGGAGGGAUUCUGACGUGCAGGACCUGCUGUGUCCCUUUGUGGACAAAUUGAAGAAGAAACAAGAGGCAAAGAAGAAGACAGGGUCAAAGAGGAAACAUGGAAGUGAGUCAGAGAAGAGGAGAGAACCUGAACCUGGGUUCAAGUACAAGAAGAACAGGAUCAUCAGUGAUUCAGACUCGUCUGAUGAGGAUGAUGAACCUGAAGCUGAUCGACCACAGAGCUACAAACAGAAGGAGACAAAUAUUCCAUCUUGGAGAAAAUCCAUCCGUGAUCUGAAGGAAAGUGGCCACCUUGAACAAAAAGCUGUAGCUGGAAAAGUUGUGAAGAAAUCUGAUCUGCGCAGAUACGAAACCAAACAGACAGAGAAGUUCUUCUUCUACCUGGGAUUAGCUGAUGAGACAGGCAGCAUUAAAGUGAUGGUUUAUGGAAGUGAGCGCUAUCAGACCAUCAUGGAGAACCAUUUCUACAUGUUCACAAAUGUACUAUUGAAGGAUGGUGACGUAAUCAAAGUAACCAGACAGAGCGAAGUAUCUGAGGUGCCUGCCAUUGAUGUUCCAGAGCAGCAGCAGGUCGAUGCUCAGGUGCUCAUCUGUCAUCAGAGUCCACUCCUCUCCAUCUCAAAGGUCAAAAGUUUAAUGGAGAGGACGUUGGUCAGCGUUGAAGGAGCCAUCAAAGAGAUUGGUUGUGUUGAACAAGUCAAAGUGAAAAACAAAGGGUUGAAGAAAAAGAAGCAAGACUUCCAGCUCGCAGAGGACGAGGACUUCAUCAGGAUCAGCCUCUGGGGAAACCACAUCCAGCAGCUCAGGGGAAUAUCCGAUGGAGAUGUCAUCAAGGUUCUCAACGUGAACAUCAAUCGUUACUUUGACUCGGUGUCACUGAACUCUACUGACCACACCAGAAUUAUCAAGAGUGAACAAGCUCCAGCCAGGAAUGUGAACAUGAAGAUAAUCGGAAUCACAACUGCCAACAAGACAGAGACUCACCUGAAGGCAGAGAUCAUGGGCAAAGUGGAAACAUUUGUGGUGACGUCUACACUGCUGGCGAAGGCGUUUGGUGUAAAACUGCAGGGCAACUUUAAAGACAGACUGAUUAGAAUCAUGCCUCUUUCAGCAGCUGCAGAAAUAAGAGGGAGCAAAAUCAAUAAGAUUACAGCAGCAAAGGCUGAAAUGUAAGCGACAGAUGCAGUUUUUAAGUCGUCUUUAAAUGACCAAGGUUGGUGUUAACGCAAGCAGUUCUGCUGUCCUGAUUCCACAAUAUUUACCAUUUCUCUUAAAACUUCAUUGAUUUCAUUUUGUCUGUGUCAAACGUCUACUGCAUGUCUUGUUUCUCUGUCAAAUUAUAAUCAAGAUAGUAAAAAUGUAAAUUCUGAGUGUUAUCUGGAGUCAAGAGAAGCCAAUAAAUGGGAUCUGAUUUCUGGCUCGUGAUUAAACUUUUUUUAGCCAGUGGCUGCAGUUCAUCGAUUUGAUUCUUAAAAUGUUUAUCACACAUUAACUACAAUAAAGAGAAAGACUCAUCAAUA
ensembl:lncRNA